CCAGGCUCCACUUCAAAGGGCAAAGCCAACAGACCAUCCUAGAGGCAGUGGCUGCUCAACGAUGCACAGUGCCAACCAUCUAGGUUUGAAAGCAGAAUCUAGGUUUGAAAGCAGAAAGCUUCACCAUCAACCAAGGUAAUGACCGCUCGACAGGUUGUGAAAUCUGAAGUUGGGAAGAGGUGCCAGUCCCCAUUCUAAAGACGGUCCUGUAAAGUUCCAGGCUAGCCUGUGCUAUAACUGAGACCUUGCCUCAAAUGAACAAGCAAACAAAAGAGAACGGAAACCCUGAAGCCCGUCUUCUCCCCCUACCACCCUCCCAGGAGUUAGAAAAGAGGCCCUGCCUCAGAUAAGCCACCUGGGCUCACUCUGCAUGAUAUAUGUCUGGGCUUUGGAGGAUGCCCGCUGUCUUGCUUGCUGCAAUUGUACAUUAGUGUAUGGAGGCUGCCCCAGGCCAUGACUGUACGCUCCACUCUUUACCAACUCAUGACUGAAUUUCAUGGAGAUG
rnacentral:lncRNA from 1 species